rnacentral:lncRNA from 1 species
UUGGGUACAGUCAAAUGCUUGUGAAGUCUGAGUGUGAGUCAAGAUGGAAUUGACCACUCCAAGUAAAAUUGAAGAUGAUGUAUCACUGUGUUUCAAUUUAGUAAAAUUUUGACCAAAGUAGUCUUAGUGAGAAGUCACAAGAUUUUUAAGAUUGAGACACAAUGUGGACCACUCUUUCGGGGUGGAUAGUUUAACCCAUAGUCAUCCUUGAGCAUCAAGUAUUAAAGGG